AAAUGUGCGUUUAAUGGAUGCCUAGGUGCAAUAUACCGAAGAAGGACGUAGUGGGCUGCGAUAAGCGCCGGGGAGCUGCCGAGCUAGCUUUGAUCCGGUGAUUUCCGAAUGGGGAAACCCCUUGUGCGAGGCUUUGGGCCUCGCAGUUAAUAGUUAAUAGUUUAUGGUUCAUAGUUUUAGAAAAUUCUACGAACUACAAGCGAUCCGCCAGAGGCGAAGAGCGGACUACUAACUACAAGUCGAGUUAGACUCGACGUACUGCGAAGCUGAAAGCUUCGCAUGAGAUCCUUUUGCGAAUUAAUAAGCUUAAGGAAGGGUACCGCCUGAACUGAAACAUCUAAGUAAGGCGAGGAAAAGAAAACAACGUGAUUCCCUAAGUAGUGGCGAGCGAAAGGGGAAAAGCCUAAACCUUGUCCAAAGGACAAGUAUGCGAAUGAGAUGCGAAUGUUUAUGCGAAUUUACGCGAAUGAGCGAAUAUGCAGGUUGUUAAACAUAAUUUUGCAUUAGCUCAUUAGCUUUUAUUCGCUUACAAUUCGCUUUAAUUAGCAUUCUUGCCCUGCGGGCAAGGGGUUGCGGGACUCAAAUGUGGGAUUUAUUUUCGAUAGCAGAACAACCUGGAAUGGUUGGCCAUAGAAAGUGAAAGCCUUGUACGUAAAAUCGAAAAUAACCCUAUGAGUAUCCCAAGUACUACGGGACACGAGAAAUCCUGUAGGAAUCCGGGCCGACCAUGGUCUAAGGCUAAAUAUAUAUUGCAACCGAUAGUGAACUAGUACCGUGAGGGAAAGGUGAAAGAGUACCCCGGAAGGGGAAUGAAAAGUACCUGAAAUUAAACGCUAACAAGCAGCCGGAGGGAGAUACCGUCUGGUAUCUCCUGACGACGUGCCUAUUGAAGAAUGAACCGGUGAGUAUACUUAUUCUGUAGUCUAACCCAGCCUUUUGGGCAUAAACUCAAAGGUAAAUUCGAAUAUCGAAUAUCGAAAUCCGAAACAAAUUCGAAUUAUCAAAAUUCUAAAUUCAAAAAGAUUUUGAACAUUAGAAAAUUUGUAUUUUGAAAAUUGUUUCGAAUUUCGAAAUUCGGAUUUCGAGUUUUACUUUUGCGAGUUUGUGUACAAGAGGCUGGGGGAGGCAUAGCGAAAGCGAGUUUUAAUAGAGCGAAUUAUACAGAAUGAGUAUGACCCGAAACCGCGUGAGCUAACCAUGACCAGGGUGAACCCUGCCGAAAGGCAGGAGGAGGCCCGAACCCGUGUCAGUUGCAAGUGAUUGGGAUGAGUUGUGGUUAGGGGUGAUAUGCCAAUCGAACGCGGAGAUAGCUGGUUCUCCCCGAAAUAUAUUUUGGUAUAGCCUCCGCCUAAAUUUCCCAGGGGUAGAGCUCUGAAUGGUUUGUGCUGAGCAAUCAGUGCAGACCAAUCAAACUCCGAAUACUGGGAAAAAUUUUGCGGGGAGUCAGUCCGACCCGGAUAAGCGGGCCAGGGCAAAAGGGAAACAACCCAGAUCCAAAGCUAAGGUCCCAAAGUGUGUCUUAAGUGUGAAAGGUAGUAUUUUCGCCAAGACAGCAAGGAGGUUGGCUCAGAGGCAGCCAUCCUUUAAAGAAAGCGUAACAGCUCACUUGUCGAUCUUGUCCGUAGGACAAGAACAAUUAACAUUUGACAUGUGACAUUUGACAAAAGGAGAAUAUUUCAUUUUUCAAAAUCAGUUCUCCAUAUAAGUCAAUUGUUAAUGGUCAAUUGUCACUAGUUGUUCUUGCCCUGCGGGCGAGGGGCGAAGAUGCGCCGAUAAUGUAUCGGGGCUAAAGAUAUCACCGAAGCUUGGAGAUUUGUGCUUUGCACAAAUACACUAAUAAGAACGAAUGAGAUCACGAAUUUGAACGAAUUAGUUCAUAUUCGUCCUUUAUUAGUUCAAAUUGGUGUACUUGCGCGAAGCGCAAGUCGGUAGGGGAGCGUUUGCAUUGCAGUGAAGAUCUGGACGUAAGUCCGGGUAGGGGAGCGUUUGCAUUGCAGUGAAGAUCUGGACGUAAGUCCGAUUGGAGUGAUGCGAAGUGAGAAUGCCGGUAUGAGUAGCGAAAUCCGGUUGAGAAUACCGGACGCCGCAUGUCCAAGGUUUCCUACGCAACGUUCGUCGACGUAGGGUUAGUCGGUCCUAAGGCGAGGCCAGAAGGCGUAGUCGAUGGACAAGCCGUUAAUAUUCGGCUACUUUGGCAAGAUCGUUAUCGAGUAAAGGGAAGACGGAGAUGGAGCGAGUCUAGGUCGAAAUGAUACGACCCCUAAGAAGCGAGGAAGUGAGAGGUGGAAAACCCACUUUCAUGAUUAUUCGAGCUUCAAAUGCUAGUUGGCGCAAGCUGACAAGAGAUUUUGUUUCAACUUCCAAGAAAUUAUCUCGUUACCAGAUUUUGUCAAAACCGUACCACAAUCCGACACAGGUGGACUGGUAUUAGUGUACCAAGGCGAGCGAGAAAACCCUCCUUAAGGAACUCGGCAAUAUAACUGGACGUACCUUUGGUAGAUGUCCUCCCGUCUCAAUCAAAUGAGCCGGGCUCAGUAAACAACGCCGGGCGACUGUUUAACAAAAACACAGGUCUCUGCAAAGUCGAAAGACGAUGUAUAGGGGCUGACACCUGCCCAGUGCUCGUAGGUCAAUGGUUGGAGGUGCGACGGUAGAUGAUAGAGAUUGGAAGCUGGAUCAUUGAAGCUGGAAUCUAAGAAGAUAGAAAUUAUUUCUAACUUCAAAUUUCUAAUAUCAAAUUCUAGUUUCUAGUUUCUAUCAUCUAUCGUCAAGCUUUCGAUUUAAGCCCGAGUAAACGGCAGCAGUAACUAUAACUGUUCUAAGGUAGCGAAAUUCCUUGUCGGGUAAGUUCCGACCUGCACGAAAGGUUGAACGACUUGGCGACUGUCUUGAGGAGGGACUCGGCGAAAUUGCAAUGGCUGUGAAGAUGCGGCCAACUUACACCAGGACAAAAAGACCCCGUGGAGCUUUACUGCAACUUGACAUUGUUUUGAAGAUCGAAACUGUAUAGCGUAGGAGGGAGCCAGGUACCGUCUGGUACCUGGCAACAAUGUAACACCUCUCUUUUUAAUUUUCAAAACUCACUGUUUGUCCUAAUAAUUAACGGGAAACAGGACAAUGUCUGGUGGGCAGUUUGACUGGGGCGGUCGCCUCCAAAAAGGUAACGGAGGCGUACAAAGGUCGACUCAAGUCCUACAGAAACGGACUUAGCGAGUGUAAAGGCAUAAGUCGGCUUAACUGCAAGUGGUACAUCACAAGCAGGCUCUGAAAAGAGACCGGUCUGCCCGCAAGGGCGACUAGGUUGCGAAAGCAGGUCUUAGUGAUCCCCCGACCCCUCAUGGGAGGGGCGGGGCUUAACGGAUAAAAGCUACCCCGGGGAUAACAGGCUGAUCUUCCCCAAGAGUCCAUAUCGACGGGAAGGUUUGGCACCUCGAUGUCGGCUCACCGUAUCCUGGCGGCGAAGUAACCGCCAAGGGUUGGGCUGUUCGCCCAUUAAAACGGUACGCGAGCUGGGUUCAGAACGGCGUAAGCCAGUUCGGCCUCUAUCCGGUGUAAGCGCAAGAUAUCUGAGUGGGGUCAUUCCUAGUACGAGAGGACCGGAAUGAGCGAACCUCUAGUGUGCCAGUUGUCACAUCAGUGGCAGCGCUGGGUAGCUACGUUCGUAACUGAGAAGCGCUGAAAGCAUCUAAGCGCCAAACAGGCCACAAGACUAGAUAUCGACAAGAUCCCAGAUAGACUAUCUGGUUGAUAGGCGGCAAGUGUAAAGCAAGUAAUUGUUG
rnacentral:rRNA from 1 species